rnacentral:other from 1 species
UGACACCUGCGGUGUACGGAAAUCGGAGAAUUCGUAAUCCACAAUAUUCAUUCGGGAGCGUAUGUCGGUCGCGAUAGGCGAGGUCUGAACAUUGUUCGGAAAGUCCGAGGCGUGAUCGCUGCGCACCCACCUGCGAAAAGCGGGUUAACACUUUUUCGCUUUGCGGCACAGGCGGAUGUCUU